AACCCCAGCACCAUGGGAACAGAGACUCACGGAAUCUUGGAGCUGAGCAGCACCAGAGAUCCUCCUAGCGCCCAGACCCUUACAUUUACUGAUCAGAAGAUGGUCUUCAGUUUACGCAUUGUCUUAGUUUAGAAAUGGAGACGAGUGUCCAAGUGAGGAUGCCUGCCGCCCUUUUGUGCUUACACUCAGGCUGAAUGGCUGCUUCGUCCCUGCUCCUCUGAGCCACCGGACACGAAGCCUCCCCAGGAAGACCUGAGACCUGGUGGGGUGCUGUCUAGAGCUAACGUGGCCCUGGAGGGACCGCAGCUGACGCCGUCUUCCACCAGCACAUCAGCGACCUGGACGGCACGUACUUGAGGUGGCAGAUGCCAGCAUCCACCAAAGUCCACCAGUGCAGCUCGAAUCCAUUUCUUCAUUUUCAUUCUGAGGGUGGGAGAACAUGCAGGCGUGCGUGUGUGUGUGUGUUCAGGUUGUGGGAGUUUUGUGUUCAGGGUAGUGUGUCUGUGCCCACUUGGGGUUGCUAUGCGUGAACUCAGUGAUGUGAGGACUGUGCAUCCAUCAGGGAGGUUUGAAAGCAAUGACGUGUGUCUGUGAUGGGGUUGAAGUAUGUGUGGGUUAUGUCGUGUACUGUACUAGAGUUUGGGUAAUGUAGGUGAACAUUCAGAUUGUUUGCGGGGGGUGUGUAUGUGUACCCGAGGAGGGGGAGCUUGUAUAAGAUACAUGUUGGAUUCUGUGGGGACAGGGUGUGCGUGUGAAUGUACAGCUUGUGCAGGCGUUAUGCAUGUCUGAGAAGGCGGGGGGUGUAAAAUAUGCACUUGGGGAUGGGGUUCGUGUGUCUGUGUGCGUACUGGGGUCAUGGACAGUUUUAGAUGUGUCUACCUGCAGGGGUGAGGAUGCCCAUUUGGAGAGUUCCGAGCCGAUGUGUGUGCAUUUUGAAAGAGUUGGGUGGUUGUCUGAACACAUUCUGAGUCCAGCAGGACGUGACGGGCAGAUUAGAAGACUGAAUGUGUGCUCCUAUGAAGAAGGCCUGGAGGCGAGUGUGUGUGUACGUGUGCACGUGCAGUGUAAUGUUUCCCAUGUUUCUGUGUGUGGGACACGCGUCCAUUAGGACAUGCUGGAUUAUCUCACGUCACAGGUGCAGAUCUUCCUCAAAUCACAAUGGGCUUACAUCCUGACAAAUCCACUGUAACGCGAGAGCACAGGAAGUCGAAGAUGCAUUGAAUCCACCUAACCUACCGAGCGUCGAACAUCGCAGCUGAGCCCAGCGUGUCUCCAGCGCGCUCAGCACGCUUAUGCGAGCCCACAGUUGAGCAGAACCGUCUCCCACAAGCCUGUUCAUAACACAGCGUUGGAUAUCUCAUGUAAUUACUGAAUACUGUACUGACAGUGAGAAACACAAUGGUUCUAAGUGCGUCGUUGUUCACCCUUGUGACCACAUGGCUGACGGGAGCUGUGCUCACCGUCACUGCCCAGCAUCACGGGAGAGGAUCAGACCACAUAUCACCUGGAAAAAGACAAAACUCAAAAUAUGAAGUACGGUUUCUACUGAAUGCGUAUCGCUUUUGCACUAUCCUCAAGCUGAAAAGUCCUAAGUCAAACCGUCGUAAGUCAGAGACCACCUGUAAUUCAGUGACGUCCAACAACACACACUUGCUUCUUACUCUGGUGGCAUGUCCUCCAUUAAUUCUAGACGGGUUCCUUGUCCUCUUCACUCUGGAUCCAGAUGGAAGGAGCAGCCCCACUGGGGCAGGACCAGACGGGAAGCGUGUGCUCAGAAGUCACACGUGGCAUUUCUGCUCACACUUCAUUGGCCAGAGCAAGUCACACGGCCACAUGCGCACUUAACAGGGUGGGAUGUAUAAUGUCUGACAGAAACACCCCCGAGAGGGACAGUACAUAUUCCUCACAGCGAUACCGUCCACCACACUGUGUGCUCAGAGCCUGUUCUACGGCAGCGGGGUAUCUCACCAAGGAGUAUGAGGAGGGUAUGGGCGAGUGUGUUUAGGUGGGUAAAGACUGGUGUGUGAUUAGGGCCACACUGUCAGGUGUGGGAUGUUUUAUAAUCACACAUUUGGGGCUUCCUGUCUGUUUUUUGGGUGAGGAGUUGGGUGUCUGUAUUCUGUGUUGUGUAUGUAUUUCAUAUAUCUAAGAUACGUAUUUCAUGUAUGUGUGUAGGUUAAACGUAUAUUCAGUGGUGUGUGGAAAUGUGUUUUUAGGGGACUAUGGGUGAG
ensembl:lncRNA